GAACGCUAGCGGGAUGCUUUACACAUGCAAGUCGAACGGCAGCACGAGAGAGCUUGCUCUCUUGGUGGCGAGUGGCGGACGGGUGAGUAAUAUAUCGGAACGUGCCUAGUAGCGGGGGAUAACUACUCGAAAGAGUGGCUAAUACCGCAUACGCCCUACGGGGGAAAGGGGGGGAUCGCAAGACCUCUCACUAUUAGAGCGGCCGAUAUCGGAUUAGCUAGUUGGUGGGGUAAAGGCUCACCAAGGCAACGAUCCGUAGCUGGUUUGAGAGGACGACCAGCCACACUGGGACUGAGACACGGCCCAGACUCCUACGGGAGGCAGCAGUGGGGAAUUUUGGACAAUGGGGGAAACCCUGAUCCAGCCAUCCCGCGUGUAUGAUGAAGGCCUUCGGGUUGUAAAGUACUUUUGGCAGAGAAGAAAAGGUACCUCCUAAUACGAGGUACUGCUGACGGUAUCUGCAGAAUAAGCACCGGCUAACUACGUGCCAGCAGCCGCGGUAAUACGUAGGGUGCAAGCGUUAAUCGGAAUUACUGGGCGUAAAGCGUGUGUAGGCGGUUCGGAAAGAAAGAUGUGAAAUCCCAGGGCUUAACCUUGGAACUGCAUUUUUAACUGCCGAGCUAGAGUAUGUCAGAGGGGGGUAGAAUUCCACGUGUAGCAGUGAAAUGCGUAGAUAUGUGGAGGAAUACCGAUGGCGAAGGCAGCCCCCUGGGAUAAUACUGACGCUCAGACACGAAAGCGUGGGGAGCAAACAGGAUUAGAUACCCUGGUAGUCCACGCCCUAAACGAUGUCAACUAGCUGUUGGGGCCGUUAGGCCUUAGUAGCGCAGCUAACGCGUGAAGUUGACCGCCUGGGGAGUACGGUCGCAAGAUUAAAACUCAAAGGAAUUGACGGGGACCCGCACAAGCGGUGGAUGAUGUGGAUUAAUUCGAUGCAACGCGAAAAACCUUACCUACCCUUGACAUGUCUGGAAUCCCGAAGAGAUUUGGGAGUGCUCGCAAGAGAACCGGAACACAGGUGCUGCAUGGCUGUCGUCAGCUCGUGUCGUGAGAUGUUGGGUUAAGUCCCGCAACGAGCGCAACCCUUGUCAUUAGUUGCUACGCAAGAGCACUCUAUGAGACUGCCGGUGACAAACCGGAGGAAGGUGGGGAUGACGUCAAGUCCUCAUGGCCCUUAUGGGUAGGGCUUCACACGUCAUACAAUGGUCGGGACAGAGGGUCGCCAACCCGCGAGGGGGAGCCAAUCUCAGAAACCCGAUCGUAGUCCGGAUCGCAGUCUGCAACUCGACUGCGUGAAGUCGGAAUCGCUAGUAAUCGCGGAUCAGAAUGUCGCGGUGAAUACGUUCCCGGGUCUUGUACACACCGCCCGUCACACCAUGGGAGUGGGUUUCACCAGAAGUAGGUAGCCUAACCGUAAGGAGGGCGCUUACCACGGUGGGAUUCAUGACUGGGGUGAAGUCGUAACAAGGUAGCCGUA
rnacentral:rRNA from 1 species